UACAGAGGGGGCAAGCGUUGUUCGGAAUUAUUGGGCGUAAAGAGCUCGUAGGCGGUCUGUCGCGUCUGCUGUGAAAACUCGGGGCUUAACCCCGGGCCUGCAGUGGGUACGGGCAGACUAGAGUGCGGUAGGGGAGACUGGAAUUCCUGGUGUAGCGGUGAAAUGCGCAGAUAUCAGGAGGAACACCGGUGGCGAAGGCGGGUCUCUGGGCCGUAACUGACGCUGAGGAGCGAAAGCAUGGGGAGCGAACAGG
rnacentral:rRNA from 1 species